AUGGAUGCGAUGUCAAGUUUUUGGUGGGGUGAUGAUGCUACUGGUAAGAAAAUGCACUGGUUUGCAUGGUGGAAGAUGUGCAUACCAAAGCAUAGGGGAGGUAUGGGGUUUAGAGAUAUCCAUUGCUUUAAUCUUGCAUUAUUGGCUAAACAGGCCUGGCGGCUGAUUGACAAUCCUCAUUCUUUAUGUGCGGUCAUCCUCAAAGCAAAAUAUUUUCCCAACGGAGACAUCAUGAAUGCCACAUUAAAGAAGAAAGCUUCCUAUACAUGGCAAAUCAUUAUGGCUGGAGUUGAUACGUUGAAGAAAGGGUAUAUUUGGAGGAUUGGAGACGGUGUUAAUGUUAAUAUAUGGGAUGAUCCGUGGAUACCUCAGUCCCCUUCAAGGAAAGUUGUAACAAUUCCUUGGGAACAACAUUAUCUCGCGUGUUUGUGA
rnacentral:rRNA from 1 species